CCUACGGGGGGCAGCAGUGGGGAAUAUUGCACAAUGGGGGGAACCCUGAUGCAGCAAUGCCGCGUGGGUGAAGAAGCACUCCGGUGCGUAAAGCCCUGUCAGCAGGGAAGAAAAUGACAGUACCUGACCAAGAAGCCCCGGCUAACUACGUGCCAGCAGCCGCGGUAAUACGUAGGGGGCAAGCGUUAUCCGGAUUUACUGGGUGUAAAGGGAGCGUAGGCGGUUAUGUAAGUCUGGAGUGAAAGCCCGGGGCCCAACCCCGGGACUGCUUUGGAAACUGUGUAACUGGAGUACAGGAGGGGCAGGCGGAAUUCCUGGUGUAGCGGUGAAAUGCGUAGAUAUCAGGAGGAACACCGGCGGCGAAGGCGGCCUGCUGGACUGAAACUGACGUUGAGGCUCGAAAGCGUGGGGAGCAAACAGGAUUAGAUACCCCUGUAGUC
rnacentral:rRNA from 1 species